UGAUCUUGAUUCUGCGACAAACUAAGGCUGCAGAUCAACUCCUUACAAAUAUCAAAAAGAUGCACAAUAGUUUCGACACUGCAGAGCUCUACAAGGACGUCAAGGAAUUCCACAAAGUAAGCCCAUUCUCUCUCCUGCCUUUUGUCUCGGCUUUGAACUACCAACAUAUCAAGGAUACUUACGACAACAAGGUGAAAGGAGGAGAUGCUACAGAGGAAAAAAUGUUCUUGGACGCACUUGCUAUUUCCGGAAC